UCCUGGCCGUCAGAAUCGAUCUAAAUAGCAGCACAAUUUGCUAAAAUAUUGGUGGGGACAGUUAUGUCAUUUUCAAAUGUUGGUGGGGACAAGUACCUAGCGUCCCCCCCAAAAUCUACGCCCAUACACCUAUUAAAGCCUACUACUUAACCACUGAUCCGUGCUUUUACGUAUCCUUUACCACCCGUAUUCAACCGAUCUUCCUAUUUAUAACUAAGAAAGGACUUAAGCAAUAACCGAGGAAAUAUAGAAGCUGUCAAUGUCAUUCAUAAUGGAACGAGACCUGGACAACGAGAGCAUGCAACCUGGCUGGUUAACCUGGCUACUAUCUACCACGCUUUAUUAACUUUCAGUGCGACUUCAUCCCUUUCCUGGGGCACCGCACCAUGGACAGCGUUCCAGUAGAAACCACCGGCACCUUGGAGAGCGGCACGACAAGCCCGGAUCGAGGCCAUGAGGGGGAGGCCGCCACAGCAGGAGACAACGAGCAAAACAGUAAGGAGUGUGAGGUAGAGACGAGACCGGCCUGAACAGUCAAGACCAAGUGCUGUGCUGUUCGGUCCUGCCUACGGCCCUUGGUGGCUACAACUUUUAUACACAUUAAACCAAUAAAACAUGCUUCACAAGUUUAUAAGGUACAUUCAACAAUUUUGUUUAAUAAAGCAACAUCGUUUCAACAG